CUUGAGUAGUAUUAGUUAUGUUCUUGAAACUUAAAAAAUUUGGCGGUAUUUUAGUCUAUUCAGAGGAACCUGUUCUAUAAUCGAUAAUCCACGAUGGACCUUACUUAAAUUUGUUUCUCAGUUUAUAUACCGUCGUUAUCAGAAUAUUUUAUAAGAAUAAUAAUUUUCUAGAAUUUAAAUUAAAUUGUAUAUCAGAUCAAGGUGUAGCUUAUAUUUAAGAAGUAAUGGGUUACAAUAAAUUUAUUUAUAUGGAUGCAAAUAUGAAAACUUUGUUGAAAGUGGAUUUGAUAGUAAAAUUAUAGAGAUUAAUAAUUUGAUUUUAGCUCUAAAAUAUGCACACAUCGCCCGUCGCUCUUAA
rnacentral:rRNA from 1 species